rnacentral:rRNA from 1 species
GAUGAACGCUGGCGGCGUGCCUAAUACAUGCAAGUCGAGCGAACGGACGAGAAGCUUGCUUCUCUGAUGUUAGCGGCGGACGGGUGAGUAACACGUGGAUAACCUACCUAUAAGACUGGGAUAACUUCGGGAAACCGGAGCUAAUACCGGAUAAUAUUUUGAACCGCAUGGUUCAAAAGUAAAAGACGGUCUUGCUGUCACUUAUAGAUGGAUCCGCGCUGCAUUAGCUAGUUGGUAAGGUAACGGCUUACCAAGGCAACGAUGCAUAGCCGACCUGAGAGGGUGAUCGCCCACCCUGGAACUUGGACACGGUCCAGACUCCUACGGGAGGCAGCAGUAGGGAAUCUUCCGCAAUGGGCGAAAGCCUGACGGAGCAACGCCGCGUGAGUGAUGAAGGUCUUCGGAUCGUAAAACUCUGUUAUUAGGGAAGAACAUAUGUGUAAGUAACUGUGCACAUCUUGACGGUACCUAAUCAGAAAGCCACGGCUAACUACGUG